UCCGCGUCCACGGCGCGCGCUCCAGCGCGAAACCACUUAACUUCCUGAACCAGAUUGGCUUCGUUGCCUUUUCUCGGUUACUAAACAGUAGUGAGGAUGUGGCCUGAGCAGAGAGCCCAAUGUGCUGUGAGGAGUCCCGCGUGUCACGUUCGUGGGAUCUUUCUGCUUCUCCUGCUUGUCAUGGUUCAGAUGAUAAUCUCCUUGGUGCCUUUUGAUGGUGUGUUCAUUCGCUCUGAUAAAGUCCUCAUCAGCCCCUACAGAUUCUGUCAGAUCCAACAAACUGGUGAAUGGUCCUGUGAUAAUGUGUAUAAGAGUCACCUGUACGAGCGAUCGCAAUCCCAAGGAGCUGAAGCUGAGACUUUAUCUAAGCCACAUUCUAACUCUGUCAGAGUAGCGGUUUACCUAGCUGUGUAUGUUCCAGUGAUUAUUGUGGCGUUUGCCCUGAUGGGCAUGCAUUCAGUCAUCUCUGACAAAGACGAACCUGCUAUCUUUUGCAGCACGACUUUCCAGGUCGGAGCAGCCUUGCUCACCCUGGCUGGCCUUUUCAGUUUUUUGUUUGUCUAUCAGUCAUAUGUGAGCUGGCAAAACAUAACCGUUUGGUUCUAUAUCUAUUUGGGUGUGGUGAUAGAGCUGGCUAUCACAUCUGUACUGACCCAUGUGUUAGGUAAGCGACUGAGAUCAUACUGGGAAUGCAGCGAAAUGCUUAAGCUCAUCCCUGCUUAAAUGCAAACAUGAGCCACUUUGCAGUUUAAAUAAAGCGAUUAAUGUUGUGAUCAUAUCACAAAGACCUUUGAGUGGUCAGUAAAACUAGAAAAGUACUAUAUUAAUGCAAUUACACAUAAAUCUACUUAGGAGAAUAUGUUGAUUGCUGGUGCUGCAAUAUCACUUUGUAUCUCUUUACCAAGUGGUUUAUGAAAGCCAACACACAUAAUGUAUAACACAACAAAAAAUAUGGUCUGUUGAGUCUGAAAUGCACAGCUGGUGGAUGCAUGAGUGGUACCCUAAUUGUGCUGACAGUUAUUUCUAUAUAAGCUGUAAGGAAUAAAGAAUAUAUGUAUUUUUU